rnacentral:ribozyme from 1 species
GCUGAGAGACGCCUUCGGCCAGUACGGAGAGGUCGUCAGCGUCCGCAUCAUCACAGACAGAGAGACCGGUCGCUCCAAGGGAUUCGGCUACGUCGAGUUUGCUGACUCUGA